rnacentral:miRNA from 2 species
UUAAAUGCACCAAGAAUCACGAU